AGAGCCAGGCGGGGCUCCAGCACAACCUGGGGUCUGGGAAGUCCUGGACAGCCCUGUGCAGUCCAGGGAAAGUGAAAGCAGGGCAGGCGGUGUUGUGGAGGUGUUAGUCUCCCUCCCAGUGAGCCCUAGAAAGCCCACCCAAGUUUCACUCCUCACUCCCCUUUUUACGUAAGAAAACAAACAAAAGUAAAAAAAAAAAAUCAACAUUUGCUACUGUGUGUUGCCCUUGCUGCCAUGUGAUCCAGGCAUGUGAUUCCCUUGUUGAUACUUGUUUUUUUUUUUUCCAACAGGAUCAAACUGGUAGCUGCCGUAAAAGCCUGUGUAACUUGUCAGAGCAAUUCUCUACCCUGGCAAGUUACACAAGCCGCGGAGCUGCUCUCUGCCCCUGGGCGUCCUGCCUCCCUCUGCCUUCUGCCUGCAUGGGUGACUCCUCCUCUCCGUCCUUCUUCAAAGGCAUCAGCUAUACUCACUUUUAGGGAAAUUGGCAGAAUUCUCCUUAGCUGCACCGCGGGACAUGUGGCCAAUGUGCUCUGGAGCGGGCCAGUCUGCCUCUCAGGUCUCAAUGGGUUUCGUGAACGAUGGAGGGACCCUUUGCUUCAGUGGCUGCCUUUGCUGCAAGAGAUGGGCCACGGCUCUGAGGUACCUUUAUGAUCCUCUGCUUCGAGAGUUGGCCUGGGACCAGUCCAGCACCUGAUCUCAGACGAUUUAUGGCCCUGGAGCGCAGCCACAUUCUCAUGGUUACAAAGGCGUGUGGACGCGGCCUGGCGCUGCCCUGUCCUCCCAGAGCAUGCGGGUGAGGAAGCGCAGGAGGUGUGAAAUGCUGGUGCUUGCAGUUGUGGUAACUAUUGAUCACCACCUCCGUGGGUUAUUGAAGGCAAAAGAUACAGUGAGAACACGACUGAGCUCCCUCACUUGCCCAAAAUCCACACGUGCCUCCAGGUGAUGCAAACCCUUCCUGGGACUUGACUGUAAUUACAAAUGUGUUUUUUCUUCACAAUAGUAGGUGCCAACUCUUCUUAAGGGGUUUAGCUGCUCCCACAGUUGCUCCUCAUAGCUGGCGGUGGCCCCUCCACUCUUUCUCCAGGGCUUGCUGUCGUUAGGUCCUGGUUGGAGACCAGCAUCCACUGACACUACUAGCCUGUGGAAACACUAACUUGUUUUUUAAGUAGAGAUUGGGUGUAAUAGUCAUUCAAUGAUUCAAUGAUCUCUGUCUUCCCUGAACAGAAAAUACAUGUCUGCCCUACCAAAGCCACUCUGCAGGCAGCAAACCUUUGCCAUAUGACAAGGAUAUAUAGACUGCUGUUACACUCUCGCUGCGCUGUGUGACUUUAGCUAGGAUGCUUAGCUAUGUAUUUCUCAACAGCAAUAAACAUACUAUUUUCUUAAUGAUGAUUUGUUUU
ensembl:lncRNA